UGGUAGGAGAGCGUUCUAAGGGCGGUGAAGUCAGACCGGAAGGACUGGUGGAGCGCUUAGAAGUGAGAAUGCCGGUAUGAGUAGCGAAAGAAGGGGGAGAAUCCCUUCCACCGAAUAUCUAAGGUUUCCUGAGGAAGGCUCGUCCGCUCAGGGUUAGUCGGGACCUAAGCCGAGGCCGAUAGGCGUAGGCGAUGGACAACAGGUAGAGAUUCCUGUACCAGUG
rnacentral:rRNA from 1 species